CCUACGGGCGGCUGCAGUGGGGAAUAUUGGACAAUGGGGGGAACCCUGAUCCAGCCAUGCCGCGUGUGUGAAGAAGGCCCUCGGGUUGUAAAGCACUUUCAGUGAGGAAGAACGCCUGGUGGUUAAUACCCAUCAGGAAAGACAUCACUCACAGAAGAAGCACCGGCUAACUCCGUGCCAGCAGCCGCGGUAAUACGGAGGGUGCGAGCGUUAAUCGGAAUUACUGGGCGUAAAGCGCGCGUAGGUGGGUUGAUAAGCCGGUUGUGAAAGCCCCGGGCUCAACCUGGGAACGGCAUCCGGAACUGUCAAGCUAGAGUGCAGGAGAGGAAGGUAGAAUUCCCGGUGUAGCGGUGAAAUGCGUAGAGAUCGGGAGGAAUACCAGUGGCGAAGGCGGCCUUCUGGGCUGACACUGACACUGAGGUGCGAAAGCGUGGGUAGCAAACAGGAUUAGAUACCCUAGUAGUC
rnacentral:rRNA from 1 species